rnacentral:lncRNA from 1 species
GCUCCCUCAAUACCUCAGCAAGGCAUCCGUCUAAAUCCCACCCAGUUCCAAAGUAUCAAGUAGCAUUAUAAAUUUUGGCAAUGCUAAAUCCUCCUCAGCACCAUGCUACGCCCAUGCCGACACCCCCUACAACACACCUUCAGCUAAGCCCAUGAUGAUUCUCCCCUACUGAAGUUGUUGAUGACCUCAUCGACAUCCAAGCCACUGCUUGAACAUUGGUCGCCACGACCGGCUUCCUUUGCAACCACUGCAAUCAUGGUUCCUUAAGUCAGAGCCCCAUAGCCUUGAUGUCCUUGAUCCUUUCUCCACCAUUGAGAAUCCAUCAUCCACACGAUACUAACUCUUCCAUAGAACCAAACUGCUCCA